CACACCCACCCUAACUACUCUCUUUUUUUUCUCCAUCUCUCAACAACUCAGAAGACAAAUCUUUGAUCUAUUCUCCUCACUAGCACAAAUACAAAGCUUUGAGCACUCCUUAACUCCAGAUAAUGGCUAUCAGGAAAUCAAACAAGUUGUCUCAAACAGCAGUUCUGAAACAGAUCCUGAAGAGGUGCUCAAGCUUAGGAAAGAAACAGGGCUAUCACGACCAAGAAGGCCUCCCUUUAGAUGUCCCCAAAGGACACUUCGUUGUAUAUGUUGGUGAAAACAGAAGCAGGUACAUUGUGCCUAUCUCUUUCUUGACUAGACCAGAGUUUCAAAGCUUGCUUCAACAAGCAGAAGAGGAAUUUGGGUUUGAUCAUGAUAUGGGUCUCACCAUUCCUUGCCAAGAAGAAGUUUUUCAGUCCCUAACAUCCAUGCUCAGAUGAGGACAUUGUUAAUUUAUUACGUUGUUCAGGUUUUAUUAGGCUUAUGAUCUAGACUGUAGAGAUGAAGCUGCUUCAUUGCUUCUCUUGUUUAAUUUUCUCUUUUAUAAUUAUUUUCUUUCCUCGGGUUUUUUCCUUAACUCUGACCCAUGAAAGAACAGAACCCAUGAAUACUAUUUGGGUUUCAGAAAUGUAAAUCUCCAAAUUUUUCCUGACAGUGGUGCGGUGUUUGUUAACAAGCAACUACCAAUGUUGUAUCCUGCAGGAAGAGAACUAAUAUAUUAUUAAGGACACAUCCCUGUUCUUUUCAAUCUUUUCCUUUCUUUCACUUUCACUUGAUUUUAGGGCUUUGUCUUUGGAUUCCAUUCAUGAAUGGCUUAUUGUCAGUUUUUUUGCCGUUAAAACUGUUAAAAAGUCUUCUCCAACGAACAGCUAAACAGAAUAUUUUGUCAGAAAAGAACCAAAAAAAAAAAGGAGUUCAGAUCCCAACUCUCACUCCCUUGUUCCAUAGGACUUGUUCUUUCAUCAAACCACUUCAUGGAUUCUUCACUUAGAAGAAGUUUCUUCCUGUUAGAUGUAGUAGUUGGGCACUUCCCCUCGGAUCUUUCAUUUUGCUUUGCUAUUUUCCCUUAUUCUUUUUUCCUGUUGUAUAAAUAGUUUGGGCAUCUUUGUAUAAACAUUUUUCCUUAAAAAAUGGCGUUUGUACCAUUUUCAGUACACUUAGAUUCCAUGUAAACCAAGGCGUUCGGUAUACACCUUUGAUGAAAGGUGAUUGAAUAAGAAAUCAAAU
rnacentral:misc_RNA from 1 species